GCAGCUGCUCCCAACCCCAGAACCUUUGCUGUCUUGGGACGGAUCACCGCUGCAAGAGGGGAAGUUGCUACUGUGAUGAAUUCUGCCAUGUGGCACCAGACUGCCACCCAGACCACAGUGUCCUCUGCAACCCUGGUCAAAGGUGCCUACAUGCUCCUUCUAGCUUUGUUUCCCUGAUGUUCCUUGCCACCUGCUACUCCUCUCUGAGCUACUUUUCCAGCUUCUCAGAUGACCAAGAUGGUGCUGCAGAUGGUGCUGAGGAUGGAGAACCCACCAAGCCCCGCUAGGAGCCACCUAGACUGGAUGCAGAGCAUGGUUCAGUGAGUUCUCCAAACCAGCCUCCCAGGAAUGCCAUUCAACAUGGCUGUGAGGAGAAUAAAGAAGAGAGCCUGACUCCUCUCCUGAGGCCCCUUCCCCACCCUGAGCCAGCA
ensembl:lncRNA MUC20-OT1 MUC20 overlapping transcript